rnacentral:rRNA from 1 species
GAGUUUGAUCGUGGCUCAGAUUGAACGCUGGCGGCAUGCCUUACACAUGCAAGUCGAACGGCAGCACGGGAGCUUGCUCCUGGUGGCGAGUGGCGAACGGGUGAGUAAUGCAUCGGAACGUAUCCUGGAGUGGGGGAUAACGUAGCGAAAGUUACGCUAAUACCGCAUAUUCUGUGAGCAGGAAAGCGGGGGACCUUCGGGCCUCGCGCUCUUGGAGCGGCCGAUGUCGGAUUAGCUAGUUGGUGAGGUAAAGGCUCACCAAGGCGACGAUCCGUAGCAGGUCUGAGAGGAUGAUCUGCCACACUGGAACUGAGACACGGUCCAGACUCUUACGGGAGGCAGCAGUGGGGAAUUUUGGACAAUGGGGGCAACCCUGAUCCAGCCAUGCCGCGUGAGUGAAGAAGGCCUCGGUUGUAA